rnacentral:rRNA from 1 species
AUGAGCAGGAGGACAUCCAUCCAUCCAUCCCAAAGGUAUGUUGGUGAGGCAGUUCAAGUGUACUCCUGCUUAAAUUUGACCUCAGUUUUACUAUUGCAGCAAAAUCUAGCAAGUACAAUGACGAUGGUGCUGGAUGCAUUUGCAUCCUACCUGGGGGACUUGCUCAAGCAGGUGGUAGAGGAAGAGCUAGGAACGAUGUUGGGUGUCUCCGACGAGAUCGACAAGUUGGGCAACAAGUUCCAGGACCUCAAGAACUUCCUCGCUGACGCUGAUAGGAGGAACAUCACCGACGAGACUGUGCAAGAGUGGGUGGGGCAGCUCAAGCGGGCCACGUAUGAAGCUGCUGACAUCCUCGACCUUUGUCAGCUCAAGGCCAUGGAGCAUGGACCAUCCACCGUAAAUGCAGGGUGUUUUAAUCCCUUGCUUUUCUGCAUGCGCAAUCCCUUCCAUGCUCAUGAGAUCGGCACCCGUAUCAAGGCUCUCAACCAGAGGCUUGACUCCAUCAAGGAGCGCAGUGCUGCUUUCAACUUUAUCAAUCUCAGGUCCUAUGAGGAUCAUAGCAGUCAUGGUAAUCUUAGCCGGGAGACGAUAGGGGACUUUGACCAGUCGGCUGUAGUUGGGGACAAGAUUGAAGAAGACACAAGAGCACUAGUGGCCCAGAUCAUGCAAACCGGAAAGGUCAAUGAUGACAUCAUGGUGGUUGCCAUCGUAGGUGCCGGCGUGAUUGGCAAGACCACCCUCGCGCAGAAGGUUUUAAAUGAUGAGACCAUCCAAGGUGAGUUCAGUAAAAAGUUAUGGUUGAGCGUCAACCAAAACUUCAGUGAUGUUGAGCUGCUAAGAAGAGCCAUCAUCGAAGCCAGAGGAGACCACUCAUCAGCUGGGAAUGUAAAGGCCAUGCUUCACCAAACCCUCAAGGACACCUUGAUUGGCCAAAAGACUUUACUCGUAAUGGAUGAUGUCUGGGACCAUGGAGCAUGGGAGAAUGUGCUCAAAAUACCCUUUGUCAAUGUUGCUGCUUCGGGAAGCAGAGUUCUUAUCACCACUAGAGAUGAAGGCGUAGCUCGACAAAUGAUAGCCAUAUGGCCCUACCACCAUGUUAACACAUUAUUGCCUGAAGAUGCUUGGUCAUUGCUCAAGAGGCAGGUACUCUCAAGUGAGAUAGAUGAAGACCACACAAAUACGCUAAAGGAUAUCGGACUGAAAAUUAUAGAAAAAUGUGGUUAUUUACCACUUGCCGUUAAAGUAAUGGGAGGACUAUUGCGUGAAAGAGGAGGGCUACAUCGUGAUUGGGAGCAUGUUUUGGAUGAUUCUGUCACGCCCCUAGAUCAGGAGCUGACAAAUCGAUACCGAACAUCACCAAAUCCAUGGAUACAAGUGUUCCUGGUGUAUGAAUUAAAUCACCAAACCAAAGUUCACAAAGGGACUACAAUCCAGAGAAGAGAAUCAAGGAUGGGAAGAGCAUAG